ensembl:lncRNA
CCCACACAGCCCUCCAUUCUUCCUUGGCCACAACCGAUACACUCUAUGCUACAAAAUUUCUAUUCAGCAGGUUGCUUCUUUCACAUUCGGCUUUGAGAAAAAUUGUGGAAAUACAGAAAGCAGAGACUAUUCGAGUAAUUAAGAGUGGGAAUUUUGUCUGUUGAGGAAGUGAAUUAUAUUCCUACUUUAUACUUUUUUUUCUUACAAAGUCCAAAUGACUUAAGUCAUAGAAAAACUGAAAUAUUUUCCAAAACUAGGAAAAGUCAUAUAGGUGCAUAUUUGUGAGAUUUUGAGUAGAGAAAAAAAUGUCCAAAAUUCUCCAGGAAUGGGUCAGGGAAGGGUGUAUUAAAGAAAGUCACACGGAGACGAAUAAAGUUGACUGUGAAGGUGUAUAAAUUGUAUCAAAACCAAGUGUGGUCUCACUCAAAAAUAUGUUUAUGAGAAGUUACUCCUUGUGUACUUUCCCCUGAGUUUUGUUUUUGUUUUCUUAGGAAAGUUCAGUAUUUCUUGUGGAGUUCUGAGAGCUCUUGCUAAUUGUAGUAAUUAAUAACUCAGGCACCCCUGCCACUGAAGUGCAGUGUUUUUGUUUUGCUUUUACUGUUAUUCUUGGCUUUAUAGCUCUGCUUUGCAUUAAAGGGUGGAUGACAUAAACCCUGAGUCAUUUCGAUAGCUCUCCUCCAAGAGCGUAAACUCAAGGGCAUGGUGUAGCACCAUCUAUCUAGUGUAGAACUCCAGAAACUCAGAAGAAAAAGCGCACUGUGGAGAGCAAGUAGACAGAAAGCAUCUGGCUGUGGUGGUAGGGUGACUAGUGUAAAGCGUCACUUCCUACAAAGCAACUUUCCUAGAGCUCAAUCUAAUGAGAUCUUCCCCGUUUCCUUCUCCAAACCACAAGCUAAUUUGUUGUGCUACAUUGCCACAUAUCCAGGUACACAGCACCAGUUAAAUGAAAAAUGCUGCAGGGAGGGUUGGUCGUCUCAGUGGAAAGAAAAGCCCUGUUAAGAUAUACUUUUAAUAACAUAAUGCCAGAAGAUCUGUCAUUUCUGUCUUACACUUUUUCUUUUUUCCAUGUGUGUACGUAUGUGUGUAGUGCAUACGUGUGUGUGUGUGGUGUAUAUGUGGGGUGUGUGUGUGUGUGUGAGUGUGAGUGUAGAUGUUUGAUCACAUGCAUGCACAAUUGUACAUGUAGAAGUCAGCACUCAAUCUUGGGUGCCAUCCCUCUGGUACAGUUCACCUUUUUAAGACAAUGUCUCCUACUGGUCUGGAACUCAAUAGGCUAUCUCAACUAGUCAGCAAGCCCAGGGAUUUACCUGUCUCUAUCUCCCUAGAUCUGUGACUGCAAGCAUGUGCUACGACAGGCUAACAUUUGUAAACAAAAUGUUAGUUCUGGGGAUCAAACUCAUGUUCUCUUCGUUUAUAGCAUAUAGAAAAACAGACUAGGGGUAAUUCACCCAGUAAUUUGCUAAAACUGAUUUUAAAAAUUCAUAGGAGUUGCAUUUCCCCAAUGACUAAGGAUAUUGAACCUUUCUUUAGGUGCUUCUUGGCCAUUCGAGAUUCCUCAGGAGACAUCUGAUGUGCUACACAGGUAGAAAGCCUGGCAGUUUGAGGCUAGAAUGGACUGCAGAACAAGACUUAAGAAAAGAAAGAAAUCACCUGUGACCCCUAUGUCCUGCAGCUGCUUCCCCCAAGGAUGCGAUGUAGGAGAAGCACGUAAGGACAUGUCAGGCUGCCUUCAUGGUGUUUUAGCCCUUCAGGAGACCAAUCAGAUUAUAGAAAUUACCAACCUUGGAAAGCCUUUGUCAGACAACCUUAGCUCUCACCUCUCGUAAAAGAAGCUUCUUUUGUGGCAGAGACCCUUGAGGAAAGCCACAACUGGUCAAAAUGUGGGAUACUGUGAUGGUUUGUAUAUGCUUGGCUCAGGGAGUGGCACUAUUAGAAGGUGUGGCCUUGUUGGAGUAGGUGUGUCACUGUGGGUGUGGGCUUAAGACCCUUACCCUGGCUGCCUGGAAGUCAGUCUUACACUAGCAGCCUUCAGAUGAAGAUGUAGAACUCUCAGCUCCUCCUGCACCAUGCCUGCCUGGAUGCUGCCAUGUUCCCACCUUGAUGAUAAUGGACUGAACCUCUGAACCUGUAAACCAGCCCCAAUUAAAUGUUGUCUUUUAUAAGACUUGCCAUGGUCAUGCUGUCUGUUCACAGCAGUAAAACCCUAACAAAGACAGGUACUCAACCCCAGUUGAUCCAUCUACAACUGGAUCCCAAAGGCCUAGGGACUGUGAAGACCGUCAGAAAGAUUUUAAUCGCCAGAGGGUCACAGCAUCUGCUACCUGGAAGGUAGUGAGUGUCUUGGUGUACUCAUGGAAUCUCUAAACAAGACCAAAUAAAAGCCCCAACUGACAUGCCAGUGUGGGUGGAGAAAAAUCCAUCAAGGCCUCACCCCAGAUGAAAAGCUAUGGGUAAUUAACCUCUGCUGAGGGAGGAGAAACAGUCUGCUGCAGGUAUGAGCCAG